rnacentral:lncRNA from 1 species
UUUCUUCCUCCUUGAGAGCAGUUUAAAUAGGACCACAACCAAGAAGCUCUCCACAAAGCACAGCCAACGCCACACUUUCCAUCUGCGUUAAGAAAUCAUUCUUCUCCCACAGACGAGCAAAAUAAGAUCAAGUAUCAUGACAGAAGUAAGUGAGAAGCUGGAAGAAGAAAAGUACCUAAACCUAGAGCAUCCCCUGUCCAGGUACUUUAAAGUUUCUCGACAACUGUGAAUAUUGUAGAUAUGAUAUAAAUUCACUAGCUUGUAUCAUAGUAUCUAUUUUAUUUUAUUUUACAUAUUAUUAUGAUGAAGUUUGGAACAUUCCUCCAAAAUGGAUGCCCAUGAACAGGCUUGGUCACGUUAUUUGGACCGUUCCUUCAUUAUUAUUUGUCUGAGAUUUGGAAUUAGCAUUUGUAUCAGAUUAUGUAUUCUUUUUUUUUUUCCUUGUUUUUGACAGGGAAAAGACUUCAUGAAGAUUUCUGGAACACUCAUUUGAGCAAGAUUAUUUUAGCUACUAAAAUCAUGAAGGAAGUGACUGGGGUGAUGAACCGUUUGAUGGCCUCAUCCUCGAACCUUCAUGAUGGUCAAACGUUGGUUUUGGACUAGCAAAACCAACUUCAUGAUAGUCUUUAAAACACCACCUUAGCUUCCAUACUGGGCUAGAAACUAAGGAAAGCAUUCAAUUUUUCAUUUAGCAUUGCAAACAUACAAGUGAAAAUAUUAUUAUGUAACUUAUUUGUCAUUGUCAAUUUAUCAUUUGGUAAGUGUAUGAAUUUGUUCUUGAUCAAUUUGAAUUUUACUUGCUUGGUUUUGAAUCAUAAGGGGAGACAUUAAUACCUGCCAUUGACGUUUAUUAAGUUGAUUCUAGUGCAACUUCCAAAUCUCUCCCAAACAAUUCCUUCUCAGAAAUCUCUAAAAUCCCUCCGACAUGUACAAAAUUUUAGUACAUCAUUUUUUGUACUACUGAGUAUACAUCAUUUUCAAGUCCUAGAAUUACAUUCUUUUUCUUCCUCACUAUUAAAAUGUUGAUUUUUAUUGGAUUACAAACAUAAAGAAUAGGAUUGGAUCAUUUGGUCUUAUUUUGGUACCAUAUGAAAAAAAAGGCUUUUGAUAACAACUCACUCCUACUUUUCUAAAUACAGUACGUAAUUCAAACGACGUUAGGAAAAAAACAGGCCUAUCUAGAUCAAAUGGGUGUAUUACAGGGUGCGAAAUUUGAACUCUCGACCUAUAAUUUAGUUUAAAGAGGGAUUUUAAAUCCCCUUUGAUGACCAACACGUCAGCAUUUUAAGUACCCACUCUUCUAGUUUACGAAACUCAAGCCAACCACCGGGAUUUGCAUGAGCAAUUUCAUGUAGUUACAAGUUUUGGUCAAGAAAAAGGUGCCUGUUGUGCUUGUGCAGCAUGCUUUGACGGAUAAUAUUCCACUCCCCCGACUUAGGCAAACUUAAAAAGGCAAAGCAUCAGAAUAUAUCUAUAUUGGUACAGCUAUCAAAUCGAGUCUGCUUGGCACCUGAAAUCAACGAUUUCGUCAUAGAAGUUUUAUUCGAGGGAUGCAUGUGGAAUAAAAUGAGAGCACGUAACUGAGAGCAAAUGAUCAAAUGGGCGAAAGCAACACAUCUCCACUUAGUUAUAUGAAAGCUUCUCACAAUUCACUAUUUUGAUUCUAAACUUAUUACUUGUAGUAAAAUAUUACUAGCAUCAAAAUGAAUAUUAGACUCAACAUUUCAAGUUGUGUCCAUAGUCUAUUAAUUCAGAUAGAAUUGUACUGCUAAGUUAAACUAAUUUUAAUUUUAGAUAAUUAAUUUGUG